UACAGAGGUCUCAAGCGUUGUUCGGAUUCAUUGGGCGUAAAGGGUGCGUAGGCGGCGCGGUAAGUCGGGUGUGAAAUCUUGGAGCUUAACUCCGAAACUGCAUUCGAUACUGCCGUGCUUGAGGACUGGAGAGGAGACUGGAAUUUACGGUGUAGCGGUGAAAUGCGUAGAUAUCGUAAGGAAGACCAGUGGCGAAGGCGGGUCUCUGGACAGUUCCUGACGCUGAGGCACGAAGGCCCAGGGGGAGCAAAAAGGG
rnacentral:rRNA from 1 species